AUCUUCGGCCGAGAGAAGAGAAAAACUUUUCUUUUUCUUCAUCAAAUCUGCUUAGAUUUUAGAAUUAGAGAAGAGAAAAACGUUUCAACAAAUCAAAACCCAUGUUCUAAACAUCUUGUAAUCGAUUCAAUAGUUGAAAUCUUCCUAAACCCUAAUUUUAGAACAUCAAUUUUUUCCCUGAAUCUAACAUUAAAUCAUAAUUCAAUAGGAUUAUUAGCAGAAUUUUGUGGAUUAUAAUCAGUUGCAGGGGGUGUGCCAACAAACACUACAGCAAGGCCAAAUCCUGCUGGUGAUGCUAGGACACCGAAUAUUACUGGCUUAGGUGGGUUUGGACUACCUCCAGAUAUGGAACGGAUGCUUAAUGGCGCACAAGAUCCUUCCCAAAUGAAUCAACUUCUGCAGAAUCCAGCUGUUGGCCAGAUAAUGCAAAGCAUUCUCUCUAACCAUCAGUACAUGAAUCAAGUGUUGGGACUCAAUCCCCAACUGCGAGGCCUGCUUGAUUCCAGUCCUCAGUUGCGAGAAAUGAUGUAGAAUCCAGAAUUUUUUCGCCAGCUAACCUCUCCCGAGACAAGGCGGGUAAUAUCUCUUAAGAUAACCAACUGGAAGUGACUUAAAUUCGUUCACUCUUGAUGCAUUAGCCGUUUUCAUCUUUCGUGUGCUUCAACGAGAAAAUCACCCUGAAUUCAUCUUUCGUUCACUCGGCCCCUGCUUGGAUACAACUGCAAAGGAGUUUGUAUCGAUUCAAGGAAAUGUGCCUGCGCAAAGCUUCUCAGAAUGUAACAACAGUGGGUUAGGGUUUUCGUAGUUUCAAAUUCAGAACUUGUGUUUACAACAUUUUGGAUUUUGCACAAGUUGUUUAAUCUGAAUGGGUUUAUGGUUCAUCUAUCUAGCUUAGCUACUUUGUUGAUGUAUGAAUCGUUCUUGAUGGAUUGUGAUAAUC